AAACGCUUGAAGUCAGUCGCGUCGUCCGAGACUCAGCCUUGCCUUGGCUUGGUGUAUUUCUUGGCCGACGGGCCAGCAUCAAUUUUGACCCUUGGAUAAUGGCGAGAGAAAUGUGACUCCUUUACGGAGUGUUAUAGUCUCUUGUCGCAUGCAAGGGUUGGGAUUGAGGAACUCAGCACGCGCCUUUGGGUGUCGGGGUUUUGCCCACGAUACGUGCUUAGGAUGUUGGCGUAAUGGCUUUAAACGA
rnacentral:rRNA from 1 species